rnacentral:rRNA from 1 species
UACGUAGGGCGCAAGCGUUGUCCGGAAUUAUUGGGCGUAAAGAGCUCGUAGGCGGCUUGUCACGUCGGGUGUGAAAGACCGGGGCUUAACCCCGGUUCUGCAUUCGAUACGGGCUAGCUAGAGUGUGGUAGGGGAGAUCGGAGUUCCUGGUGUAGCGGUGAAAUGCGUAGAUAUCUGGAGGAAUACCGGUGGCGAAGGCGGCAUCCUGGACCGACAUUGACGCUGAACGGCGAAAGCUAGGGGAGCAAACGGG